GUAUCUCUCUCUCUCAUGCCCACAUUAUAUGUCCAGACCGAGGGAGCAGCAGCAGCAGCUUGAAAUAUCUCCCGUUUUAACAAUCCUGCGAAGCGCACCCCAUACAGGCCAAAGAGCUUAUUUGGAGGGGGGGGGGGUUCAAAGGAGGCGGUCUGAAAAAGAAGGAGGAGGAAGAGCCUCCUACUCGUCCAAGAGGCGAUGAGAGUCUGGAUCAGAGGAAGGAGGAACUGUGAAAGAUCACAGAUGGUCACCACCAACAUGAAGGUAAAUCCUGAAGAGCUAAGUCCUUUCUUGCCAAAUAAAAUGGCUGCUUGGUUUCUUUUCCAGCCCACUGACUUUUUCAGACCAAUCACAGAAGACAUUUAUCAUGAUUAAACAUUGAUGUGACCAUUCUGAUUAUUGUUUUGCCAACUGUAAGGUAGUUUUCUAGUUUACAAGGAACUGCAAUCUAUCUGUCCUCACAAGAGAAAAACAGAUACUUCUCUAAGGUCCUCCAGCCCCUACCCCAAGUAGUCGUGCGGAACUUACAUUUCCACAUGGAGCUUUCCCUGUUGCUAGGCUUUGGCUGAACAUGGUAGGAGUGGAUGAAGCUUGGAGUCACAGUACUGACACAAACCCCAAAUUCCUGCAGUUCUGCUCUCAGGCUGUCAAAAAAACCCAGUGCAGCGUGCUUUGAUGCAGCAUCUAGGAGCAAACAAAGAGAUGGCCUCAUAGAAUGCGGAGGGGCGGAGGAAGAGUUAAAAUCACCCCACUCAUAUAUUUCCCCUCUCAGCCACCCCAACCCUCUGAGAAAUUUCACUUCUCUUACAGAAACUUGUUUGGCUUCCCUUGAAAAUCUUCAGAAGUUUCUCCUUGAGAGGAAUCCUGGAAUUUGCUUUGCAUUUCACUUUCUUUUUUUUGGAAAUUUCAGUGUCAACCCUACUCUCGGCUCUUCUAAUAUUUUGGCUCAGUGCUAUCUUUCCAUGUACAGAAAACAAGAAGCUAGGGUUGCUAGUUCCUCCUUUUAGUCUGCCCAUUAUUUCAACACCAUAUAAUAAAAUGUUUGCUUUGGAAUAGCUGACCUACAUAUCACCCGGUCAUACAGAUAUCCAGUUCCACAAUGCAACUUUUGGAAUUUUGACCCAACAACUCUGCCGGAAACUAGAAAAAGAGAAUUUUUUGGCAAUGACUAAUCAGUGGGUUUCUGUGCUGAAAUACUUGAAGGAAGUCUCGGGUCCAAGGGUGGGUGAUGAAUUCCUAUGGUCAGACGGUGUCUUUUAAUAAAUAUGAAGAAUCUAUGGUGUGGUAUGUGGCAGAGUUGACACCUGUUUUUCCCCCAGUGGCUUUAAAACUCCUUGGCUUGGUAGUCAGUCCAGUUCUAUAAGGCAGAGUUGUACUGUAUUAACAGCCCAUGCAAAUAAAUAACCAUUUAGAUUUGUAAACGUACAAGCUGCACGAAAAGGGACUCCUAAUUUCCCUUGGAUAUUAUUGACUAGCACAACUUGUCCAGUUCUCCUGGAGAUCAUGUUGGGAAGAAGAGCUGGGGAGGAAAAGAUGGCAGAAAUUAAUGAUGUUAGAUUUGUUACAUUAUCAGAAGAGGUGCUUCUUAUUUAAACUUCGUUUUCACUCUUCAUUGCCUGUGUAAUAUACAUUUUAUUAACUGAUGACAAUUGUUGGGAAAUGCAGUCAGGAGGUCCUGGAAGCCCAAUUUAGGCUGCUGCUAACUAGCAUAUUAAAGUUCAGCACCCCCAGGGUAGCGUUCUCUGAAGUGCCACCUGUUCCAUGCACAGGGACAGUCAGACAGAGCUGAGGGGUCUCAAUGCGUGGAUGAGCUGGUGGUGCCGGGAAGAGGGGUUUAGAUUUGUUAGGCACAUUUGGGGGGAAGCGAAGCCUGUACAAAAGUUAUGGGCUCCACUUGAACCAAAAUGGAACCAGACUGCUGGCACUAAAAAUCAAGAAGUUUGCAGAGCAGCCUUUAAAAUGACGCCUGGGGGACUGCCGGCAGGAACAGGGUGGCAUCUGCUUCGGCCAGCAAAAUCCCCUAAUGUGUGAGGGUGUACAUGUUUUGGAUAAACCAGAAGGGGAUAGAGCAGAGCCAGGAGUUGAACAGUAGGAAACACAGGACAACUUGCCAAAUAGGUCCAAUGAUGGUAAGGGGGAUAGCACAUGCCAACACCAGGUGAGGGACCUGGCAUAUAGUUGCCUGUAUACCAAUGCCAGAAGCCUCCGAGCCAAGAUGAGUGAGCUGGAGUUCUUGGUUACUAAUGAAAACAUAGAUAUACUUUAGUGGGUGUAACAAACCUGGUGGAAUGGUGAGAACCAGUGGGACAUGAUUAUUCCUGGAUAUAAACUCUAUGGAAGGGACAGGGAGGGUAGGGCUGGGGGAGGAGUGGCACUCCUUAUCAAAGAAGCGAUAGAUUAAAUAAGCUAGAUAACCUAGGUGGACCAGAGUCCUCCACAGAAUCAUUAUGAGUAACAUUACGAGGACUGAAAGGAAAUGUGUUACCAGGGACAUGCUAUUGCCCUCCAGAUCAAAGCUCUGAGAAUGACCUGGAGUUGGAGAAACAAAUAAGAGAUGUGUCAAAGAGAGAGAGGGCAGAAAUAAUUGGUGACUUCAACUACCCACACAUAGACUGGGUAAAUUCACAUUCAGGUAAUGACAGAGAGUCCAAAUUUCGAGAUGUGCUAAAUGACUGUGCCUUAGAACAGUUAGUCGCGGAACCAACCAGAGAGAUGGCGACUUUGGAUUUAAUCCUCUGUGAUGCCCAAGACCUGGUGCAAGAUGUCAGAGUUGCAGAACCAUUGGGUAGCAGUGACCAUAGUGUGAUCCAAUUCAGCAUAUAUGCGAGUGGAGAAUUGUCAAGGAAGUCCAACACAGAUGUGUUGGACUUCAGAAGAGGAAACCUCAAAAAUGAGGGGACUGGUAAGAAGGAAGUUGAAAGGGAAAGCCAGGUGGGUCAAAUCACUCCAGAAAGCAUGGUACUUAUUUAAAACCACAGUACUAGAAGCUCAGUUGGAAUGUAUACCAAGAAGGAGGAAAGGUAGCACCAAGUUCAGGAGGAUGCCAGUGUGGCUAACAAGUAGAGUCAGGGAAGCUAUAAAAGGGAAGAAGACUUCCUUCAGAAAAUGGAAGUCCUGCCCAAAUGAAGAGAACAGGAAGGAACAUAAACUCUGGCAAAAGAAAUGCAGGGAGACAAUAAGGGAUGCAAAGAGAGAGUUUGAGGAGCAUAUCGCUAGAAGUGUCAAGGGGAAUACUGAGCCAUUUUGGAAGGGUCGUAUACAAAUCAAAUAAAUAAAUAAAUAAUAACAAAAACAUCUUUAAAUAUAUCAGAAGUAGAAAACCCGCCAGGGAGGUGGUUAGAUGAUGAAAUAACAGAGAAGCUGAAUGAGUUCUUUGCAUCUGUCUUCAUGGCAGAGGAUACUGACCAUAUACCCUCUCCAGAAUUGAGUUUUUCAGGUUUAGCUGCUGAGGAACUGGGUGAAUUUGAGAUGACAAGGGAAGAUGUAAACUGUCUUGAAAAGCUAAAAAUUAACAAAUUUCCAGAGCCAGAUGGCACCCACCCAAGAGUUCUGAAGGAACUCAAAUGUGAAAUUGCCAAUCUCCUAGCAAAAAUAUAUAACUUGUCCCUACAAUCAGAACUGGAAAGUAGCCAAUGUGACUCCAAUUUUCAAGAAGGGAUCCAGGGGGAAACCAGGAAAUUACAGGCCAGUCAGCUUAACUUUGGUGCUGGGUAAAUUGAUGGAAAGCAUACUUAAGGACAAAAUUGUUAAGCAUAUAAAAGAACAGGCCUUGUUGAAGGAGAACUAGCAUGGCUUCUGCAAGGGAAAGUCUUGCUUCACUAAGCUUUUGGAAUUCUUUGAGAGUGUUAACAGGCAUGUGGAUAAAGGUGAUCCAGUUGACAUAGUAUACUUGGAUUUCCAAAAAGCUUUUGAUAAAGUUCCCCACCAAAGGCUCGUAAGUAAACGUAGCAGUCAUGGAAUAAGGGGACAGGUUCAUGUGUGGAUCAAUAACCAGUUGUAGGACAGGAAACAGAGAGCAGGAAUAAAUGGACAGUUUUCACAAUGGAGGUAGGAUGUGGGGUCCCCCAGAGAACGAUACUGGGACCAGCGCUCUUUAACUUGUUCAUAAACGAUCUAGAAGUUGGGGUGACGAACGAAGUGGCCAAAUUUGCAGAUGACUCUAAACUAUUUAGGGUAGUGAAAUCCACAACAGAUUGUGUGGAGCUCCAAAAAGAUCUCUCCAAACUGGGGGACAAAAUGGCAAAUGCGGUUCAGUGUAAGCAAGUGUAAAGUGAUGCACAUUGGGUGGAAAAACACCAACUUCACAUAUACGCUGAUAGGAUCUGAGCUGUCGGUGACUGACCAGGAGAGAGAUCUUGGGGUCAUGGUGGACACAGCUCAUUGAAAGUGUCAAUGUGUGGCAGCUGUGAAAAAAGCUAAUUCCAUGCUAGGAAUCAUUAGGAGGGGGAUUGAAAAUAAAAAUGCUAAUAUUAUAAUGCCCUUAUACAAAUCUAUGGUGUGGCCACAUCUAGAAUACUGUGUACAGCUUUGGUCACCAUAUCUUAAGAAAGAUAUUGUAGAACUGGGAAAAGUGCAGAAGAGGGCAACCAAAAUGAUCAGGGGCACCUGAUCAUCAGAAGCACCUUCCUUAUGAGGCUAGGCUACAGCAUCUGGGGCUCUUUAUCAUGGAAAAGAGGUGACUAAGGGGAGACAUGAUCAAAGUGUAUAAAAUUAUGCAUGGAGUGGAGAGGGUAGACAGAGAGAAAUUUUUCUCCCUCUCUCACAACACUAGAACCAGGGGUCACCCCAUGAAACUUAAGGUUGGGAAAUUUAGGACCGACAAGCGGAAGUACUUUUUUACACAGCACAUAAUUAAUCUAUGGAAUUCUCUGCCAUUGGAUGUGGUUAUGGCCACCAGCCUAGAUGGUUUUUUAAAGGGGCUUAGACAGAUUCAUGGAGGACAGGUCUAUCAGUGGCUACUAGUCUGAUGGCUGUGGGCCAUCUCCAGCCUCAGAGGCACGAUGCCUCUCAAUACCAGUUGCAGGGGAGCAACAGCAGGAGAGAGGGCAUGCACAUACCUCUUGCCUGUGGGCUCCCCAGAGGCAUCUGGUGGACCACUGUGUGAAACAGGAUGCUGGACUAGAUGGGCCUUGUGCCUGAUCCACCAGGGCUGUUCUUAUGUUCUUAUGACAAUAUAAAUGCAUCUUUAAAAUGUUGUAAUGUUUACAAAAUCAUAAAAAUGUCCUAACAUAUCCUUAAAUAGAAAAUAGCAUAUGGGAUGCAUUUGGUCAUUAACAUUAUUGUUUCAACGAUUAACCAAUGAAACCCAUUUCUUAUCAAUCUUGUUUUCUUUAGCAUUUUUAUAAUAAUUUAACUUGAUCAGGAACACCACUCUCCAAAUUUGAUAUAAUCAGUCCUAUUUAAUUGGUGAUGAUUUUUUUUCUAUGUCAAAACUAUACAGAGCUUGGCUACAGCUAAAAGGCAAGUGAUGAGUUCUAAAUAAUAUUUUGAAUGUCAGAAUAAGACAUAUGAAUAAGACAUAUGAAAACAUAUGAAACAUGUCUGCCCCAUCACUCCCCAUCUCCAAACAUCUAUCAUCAGGACAAAAAUUUAACCAAAAACAGGACAACUUCCAUCAGUGCUAGAUGACAAAGCAAUUCAUAGAUCAGUUGGGGAAGCACCAACUGGUCAUCCUUAUGAACAAUACAACAACUAGAGCCUACCAGAUGAAAUUUAAUACAAAGCAAAUUUUGACAAUUGUAGGAGCAAAUGAAACCCAGGGUUGCAUUCAGGUGCUGCCUGAUUGGCUUGAAAGAUGGAGCUGUAGAAUCAGAGCUCUGUGACAGAGUUCAUCCUCCUGGGCCUGGCAGAGGGAGUGUUGGCAGAAACCUUGCUUUUUGUUCUCUUCUUGAUCAUGUACUUUGUCACACUGGCAGGGAACUGCAUGAUGAUCCUGCUGAUUGGGACUGAGCCUCGUCUACACACUCCCGUGUACUUCUUCCGUCUCCACUUAUCUCUUCUAGACCUGUGCUACUCCUCAGUCACAGUUCCACAAAUGUUGACACAUCUCCUCUCAAGCCACGAGACUAUGCCCUUUGCCCGAUGUGCCUGUUCAGAUGUACAUCUUCCUGGUUUUUGGUAUGUCUGAAUGUGUGCUGUUGGUCAUCAUGGCCUAUGAUUGCUCUGUGGCUAUUUGUCACCCCUUGCACUACACCAACAUGAUGAGCUGGCACUUCUGUGGCUGGCCAGCAGGAGCUGCCCGGGGUAGUGGUUUCCUCAACUCUCUGACUGUCAGUGCCUUUGCCCUGCACCUGCCUUUUCGUGGCCUCAACCGCAUCAACCAGUUCUUUUGUGAGGUUCCUGCAGUCAUCCAACUAGCAUCAACUGAUUACACAGAGGCCGAAAUGGUGGUGUUUAUCUUUGGCUCCCUUCUGCAAAUUUUACCCUUCAUCCUCAUUGCUGCCUCCUAUGCCUGCAUUGCAGUAGCCACCAUCCUGCGCAUCCGCUCUGCCGAGGGCCGACGCCGGGCUGCCUCCACCUGUGCCUCACAUCUCCUGGUCAUGAGCCUUUUCUAUGGCACGGCGCUCUUUGCCUGCAUGCGGCCCAGCUCAGUCAGCUCUGCCACAGGCCAGGAUAAGGCUGUGUCUGUCUUCUACACUGUGGUAACUCCCAUGAUGAAUCCUCUCAUA